CUCAGGACACGCUGGCGGCGUGCCUAACACAUGCAAGUCGAACGGAGAUAUCCGCUGAUGAAGUACUUCGGUAAUGAUUCUUGGAUAUCUUAGUGGCGGACGGGUGAGUAACGCGUGAGCAACCUGCCUUUCAGAGGGGGAUAACGUUUGGAAACGAACGCUAAUACCGCAUGAUAUUAUUGAGCUGCAUGGCUUGAUAAUCAAAGGAGCAAUCCGCUGAAAGAUGGGCUCGCGUCCGAUUAGGUAGUUGGCGGGGCAACGGCCCACCAAGCCGACGAUCGGUAGCCGGACUGAGAGGUUGAACGGCCACAUUGGGACUGAGACACGGCCCAGACUCCUACGGGAGGCAGCAGUGAGGGAUAUUGGUCAAUGGGGGAAACCCUGAACCAGCAACGCCGCGUGAGAGAAGACGGUUUUCGGAUUGUAAACCUCUGUCCUCUGUGAAGAUAAUGACGGUAGCAGAGGAGGAAGCUCCGGCUAACUACGUG
rnacentral:rRNA from 1 species